UACGUAGGGGCUAGCGUUGUCCGGAUUUAUUGGGCGUAAGAGCGUGUAGGCGGCCAUGUAGGUCCGGUGUGAAAACUCGAGGCUUAACCUCGAGAUGUCAUCGGAAACCAUUUGGCUAGAGUCCGGAAGAGGAGAGUGGAAUCCUGGUGUAGGCGGUGAAAUGCGCAGAGUAUCAGGAAGAACACCAUGGCGAAAGCAGCUCUCUGGGACGGUAC
rnacentral:rRNA from 1 species